UAAAAUUAUAUGCAUACUUAUGAGCAUCCUUUUUAAUUAAAACAAGACACAAAAAUCUUCAAUCGCCUCUAUUGGUAUACAUCACGAUUCACGAUUAGUUAAAUAUGUCAAACUAUAAAUAGGGGCUUAGAGUAAUCAAUUUUAUUUAUUUUUACUUUCAAAACACUCUUGAAGUCGUUGAGUUUACCUGAUUGUAGUUUAUUGGCCUUUAAAUACUUUAGCAACUAUUGCACAAUUUGAUUCUCGCCAGCCAGCUUCAAAUUUCGUCAACCAACUUUUUCUACUUCGAGAGAGCUUUGUGUGACAGCUGGAUUCACCUCAAUUGGAAUUUCUAUCGAGAAAGUUAUGGCAAUUUUAUGAAAAUUGCAAACUGAUUCCUACAAAAAUUUACUUGAUUCUACCUGAGAAACUUCUAACUUAUUGGCUCAUAUGAGUUGAACGUUGGAUAAGGAGUCUCUAACAAAGUCUAAUAGCUGGAAAAAUAAACAAAAAUCAUUUAUAAUUUGAAGACG
rnacentral:lncRNA from 1 species